rnacentral:guide_RNA from 1 species
AACAACCACAAGUAGAAAUAGACAUAGAUAAGAGAGAAAGAUAAAAUUAAU